rnacentral:rRNA from 1 species
UAGGGAAUAUUAGUAAUGGGCGAAAGCCUGAACUAGCAACACCGCGUGUGCGAAGAAGGCCUUCGGGUUGUAAAGCACUUUUUGAGAGGAUGAGGAAGGACGGUACUCUCAGAAUAAGUCUCGGCUAACUACGUGCCAGCAGCCGCGGUAACACGUAGGAGGCAAACGUUAUCCGGAUUUACUGGGCGUAAAGCGCGUGUAGGUGGUUUGGGAAGUAGAGCGUGAAAGCUCCUGGCGCAACUGGGAGAGGGCGUUCUAAACUGCCGGACUAGAGGAUGGUAGAGGGAGUUGGAAUUCCGGGUGUAGCGGUGGAAUGCGCAGAUAUCCGGAGGAACACCAGUGGCGAAAGCGGCCUCCUGGACCACUCCUGACACUCAGACGCGAAAGCUAGGGUAGCAAACG